AUUCCGUUGGUUAGACGAUUUUCGGCACUGGUCCCGAACGGACGGUUCUUCGCGAUUGCUUGUCGGCAAAAAUUUUCUUCUCCGGUUUUUUGUUUUGUUAUGGUGCGAAACCAUCGACAGCACGUGGUGUUUUUUUCUUUCGGUUUCUGUUUUGUGUCAGUGUGGGACAGGACUACUAGAUCGAAUUUGGCUUGUGGAAAAACUGAAGAGAGAGAGAGAGAGAGAGAGCGGAAAAUCGUCCAACAGCCAACUUUGAGACUAAACACCCAAAAAAGAGCGAGCAAGGAAACUGAGUGACUUAAGCGAAUCGCGUCGUGAGGUUUUUCACGAAAAAUAAAACAGCAACAUUGGGAUUGCGGCACACAACAGUCUCAGUCUCACCUAGACCGUAUUCCGCCUGUGUUCGUGACUCGCGUCGGAUCAUGGCAGUCCGUCGUGCGUGCGUCUGAGUUUGAGUGAAAAUAAAAUUGGAAAAUUUGCACAAUCGGAAAAUCUUUGUGCUGGAAGAAAAGGCACGGAGAUCUUCGUGUCACACUGAGUUUUAUAUUUUCCCUAUUCUGAAUGUGUGAGAUAGUGUGAUUUCGUUAGAAGAUCUCUUGAGGCAGAGGCGCCGGCAAUCGGAUGUUGGGAUCAUGAUGCAGUCGUCGAUAUUCCGUCGGUUAAUCAGUUUAAUACUCAUAAGGUGACAGCGACACUUUUUGAGUCAUAAAGUCUACAAUGAUGUCUAUUUGAAGUGGUCAAUCACUUGCGCGAGACGAGGGAGUUGAUUUUUUUCACGCAGAGUUCAUUCACAACCUUUGGACUGGUUUUUUUUUCUUGGUGCGUGAGCGUACGAGUUUUUUUUCCGUGCGCAGAAAACGAGCGACAGUUAUUGCUAGUGAAGUGACAAUAUAUCAACAAACAAUAUGGCGGCGUCUCAAAGAUGGCGACGCGUCCUCGGUGGCACGUGGUGUGUUUAAGCUCGGCAUAUGAGGUCCGAGUGCAGUGGUCAAAGAAGGCGUUUGAAUGUGUUUUUUAUGUUGUUGUUGGACCAGCGGGAUUCGUUUAGACUGACCAACGGGACCGAAAGAUGUCGCUAGUCUGCGGGAGUCAUAAAAUGCGGCAAUUGUUUUCGCUCGCGGUUAACUACAGUCAUUGUUGACGGAUUGAUUUUUCAACUGGCGACAGGAAUCUGUCCCAGUCGGAAUCAGAAGAUAGAAACAAAAUAAGCAAGAAACCGACGGUGAAGCUUGUGAACAAUAGCCGGAGCCAGACGACGUUUUCAAAACCCAAAGCAUAGGAAAACCAUUUUCGGUCCACCGCAGGAAUAAAUCUCGGAAGCAAAAACCAUAACCCAUAAAGGAGCAUUACACGAGACGAGGGAAGUGAAAAGUAAGUGAAAAAAAACACACAAAAAUGAAGCUGUGGAAGUCGAAGAAAAGUUCUUCGGGUGGCUCCAGCAGUUGUGUCCCGAGUCCUGGGGGGAAUGGCAAGGGAACACUAUCGAAGAGUUGCAAUUUCGGCGGUGGCAACAGCAGCAACAACAGCUUCGAGGAUAAUAGUGUCGAGACGUCGUUUAUCAAUCCGGCUGGUGGAACAGGGACCGGAAGUAAUGGCACAGGCCAUACAACUACCGCCGGAACGCCGUCAGCCGGUCUGAUGCAGCAGCAAUCGGGAGCAGGAGGAGCCACAACCACCACCGGAAGCAUGAUGUCGGCUAUCGACCGGGCAAUGAGUCCAGCACAAUCGGAGGAUUCUGGAUUGGCUGCCGAUCGAGGAACCACUUAUGCCACGAUUUCGAUUCCUCGAGAGCACGGACAACCUCUUGGAAUUAUACUUGUAGAGCGUUCCGACCUCUCCUAUCCGCCGGUGGUCGAGUCCAUCAAUGGGCCGGCGGCGGACUUUCUGGCACCGGGAGACCGGCUGCACCAAAUCGAUGGCAUCUCGACGAUUGGCCUGACCAAUCAGCAUCUGUUUAGCUUGCUAACCCAUGGCGAUGGGCCGGCCGUGAUUGAGAUUGAGUACUCGUUUCCGGAGUACAUUUCACAAAACAGUCUCUGCGUGACGACCAAGUUGGCACAAAUUACCGUGGAGCGGGAAAGCGGAUGUCUCGGACUUACUCUUCGAGGAGGCGGGGAAUAUCCUCUCGUAGUCACAAACGUCCGGAUGCACGGUCCGGUCUUCAAAACCGGUCAAAUCAAACCGGGUGAUCGGGUUCUGCGAGUCGAUAAUAUUUCCCUGGUCAACAAAACUCUCUCGGAGGCUCAGCACAUUCUCAAAAACGGGCACAUGUCCGGCUACACUAAUCUCACAAUCGAGUACGACGUGUCGGUAAUGCAGAGCGUGGAGUUCAGCAUGGGUCCCCUGUUGCUGGAAAUCGAACGGCCGAUGAACGAAAAGUUGGGCCUCAUCCUGAGCAACUACUCCAGCGCCGUCAAUCAAGCCGACCUGUAUCACAAACUAGACGAGGUGCAGCCGGCCGGAAUCUACAUUGCCAGCAUCCUUCCGGCCAGUAUAGCCGAUCGAUGUGGCGCCCUCUCGAUCGGGGAUCAAAUCCUGUCGGUGGACGAAACGAUCGUCGAAAACAGUGCCUACUCACCGGAGGAAGUGACCAGCCUGCUGGACGCUCCCUGUCCCAAAGGAUACACCCAACUUCAAAUUCUUCCGGCGCAUACCCUUGUGAGACGAAGAGGUAUCUCCUGUUCCAGCCCCAAGUACGGUUACAAUACAGUCGAUUCCAGAAAGCAUCUCUCAGGCGCUGGAAACAAAAACCGCCGCUUGGUUCGGAAAAGCUCGCUGCCGCAGGCUUCCGUCGAAAACGGUUCCAGUGGAGCGCUACACCCCAAUGUGGGCCUCUGCAAAGCGGAAACCAUUCAACUGGUGCUGGACUGUUCGCAGGGUUCCGGCAUCUGUUUGGGUCCGAAAACACCUUGUGGUCGGGGAUUUUUGAUAGCACAGAUUGUACCGGAUUCGGUGGCCGAACGUUCUGGUUGUCUACAAAAGGGUGAUCGGAUUUUGGCGGUCAAUAAAAUGUAUAAUUUGGACGCAAACACAAUUCGUCAGCUGCUGGGUGAUUAUGGCAAUAAGACGGCAGCAAAUCAUUAUCACAAUCAACCACAGACCAAAAAUUGGAUCGAACUCGAGCUGGAGUUCGAUAUGGCCGAUAGCGUGAUUCCGUCAAGUGGAGUGUUCAACAUUAAGCUAAUUCGACAGAAUCGCUGUGGACUGGGAAUAACUGUCAAUGGGAACAGUCACGGAUCGUUUGUUAUUUCGGAAGUUAAACCGGGAAGUGCUGCCCAUCGCACUGGGUCUCUGAGGGCUGGAGAUGUUCUACUUGCGGUGGACAAUCAUCCGGUACAGCACUAUAAUUUGGAUUUGUUGCUUAAGGAAUGCAAAAACGAUUACAUCACGUUAACUGUUAAAAGAAACUCGUUGCCGGACUUUUUGUUCGAUGCACAACAGAAAACUAACGUCAUCUACGGAAGCACCGAGGACAAUGCGUACAUUUACAGUAACAGAUACAACGAGUCACCGUCCCUAAAAUCAAACCAAAACGUGGACUACUUCCAAAUUGAGGAUCAUCUCCAGCAGCAGCUCAGAAGACCAAUUUGGAGUGGUCCCAAUCCAACGUAUGACGUCCUCCCUAGUACCCCCAGCCGUAAUCCGAUGACCCAAAGCACAGGAACCCUCAAAGCAAUGCACCAUCAUCAACAACCGCUGCAACAACACCAAAUGUCAUCGAGUGUUGAGAAUCUACCACACCCUCCAACUCAUCUGCUAACCAACGGCACCGACACAGGACCUCAGGAGGUCAGUGAAGAUCGCUUUGACGACAUCGUCCACUACAAGAUGGCCUCGAUGAACAUCAACAGCACCAACUACGUGGGACUGCCAAAUAGUUCCGGAACCGGAGCCGGAAUCGCCGGUGGAGGAGAUCUCGUUGGAGAACCUCAAAUCCAACAGUACAUCUUCAAUGUGCGACUAGAACCGAACGGAGGACCCCUAGGAAUCACACUGGCCGGAAGCGACGACCUCCAGAAACCCAUCAAAAUCAGUGCCCUCACCGAGGGUGGAAUAGCUCACAACACCGGUCAACUGAAGGUGGGCGACUGCCUGCUGGCCAUCAACGGGGAAAGCAUUUGCGGAGUUCCGCUCACGACGGCCACCAAGCUGCUGCACAAGUUUGAGAACGUGGUCGACCUUCAAAUAUCACGAACGGAGUGCGUUGGCGCAUCGGCGUCGGUACGAACCCAGGCCGUUGGUGAACCGCAGGCGGUUUACGCCAAAGUUCAACGGCGACCGCGCAGUCCCUCGAUAACCAUCGAUGCCGUCUCGACGACCAACUCGACAGGGUCCGGGUCCGGAAGUAGCAGCAGUCGGACGUUGCAUGUUACACUGUUCAAGGAUCGAGUCUAUGACGAUUAUGGGUUCUCCGUUUCCGAUGGACUGUACGAGCGCGGAGUUUACAUCAAUCGGAUUAGGACCGGUGGCCCUGCGGAUUUGGUCGGGAUGCUGAGGCCCUUCGAUCGGAUUGUGCAGUGUUGGAAUUGGGUUCUGCCGGCCGUUCGUUCUCCUCCUCCGGUAGAGUCGAGCAUCACAGAAGACCUUCUUCCGGUGCAUCAGUUGCCAUUUGGAUUUUUAUUGACAAUUCUUUUCAAUAAAGCCUACUCUACGUGUUGGUGACCGAAAGUGAGUCACUGUAUCCUUUUGAAUCUGUGCUGUUUCGCGGAUCUGAAACGUUCGGAUGCAUAGUGAAAACAACAUUCAACCGCUGGUAGAAUAAAUUCCAAACUAUUGUAUUGGCAACUUCAGCAAAAAAGAAUACAGAAACAAACUCACCUGUAACCUGGAACCUUCAAGGUCAACGGAACAAAAACGCAGGACUUCGAUUGCUGCCUGACGGUCCCCUUAAUAGCGGCGGCCGGGGAUAAGAUCGAACUGGUCAUCCAGCGGCCCCUGGCAGCGGACUAGCAGGAACACUGGAGUCCCUUUUCCAGUAGAAGUCACACCGCAAGAAUCCCUCCCAAAUGAUCAGCAACGAGUUUACUCCCACAUCGAGAUACGCGUUAGACUCAAAUGAAUGAAUCAAGAAACCCAAAGCCAAAAAAGUGCCAAUUUUUACAAUGCAACAAGCCAAACGUAAAAUACCAAAAACAAAAAAAAUAACAAUAAAAGUUUCAACAGUUUAUUUUGUUGGUGAUGUUCACCAAAAAGUUAGGAAUCAGUCAGAAGAAACUCUCAAAAGCUAAUGUUAUCUAAGAAUUUAUUAUCCUUAUCAUCCCAACAUCAAUCAUCAGUCCUUUUACCUGUUCUUAAGCUGAAACGUUCUUCGUUUUUUCAUCAUAAAUCAUUCGAAACUUUAUCAUAUUUCAAACGUAUUUAUUAUAUCAAUCUCGAUAAGCAUUAUUGUAGUAGCUAGGUCAGUUUUUUCCCACGUUUUUCACGAAUUUCUCACUAAUCUUUAAAAACGUUUACCAAGAAUCAACCAUCCAAAUACAGGAAUCUCGUCUAGGACAAUAAAUGAGAGCAAACGUUUAGCCAAAGUUUCCUUAACCCCGAAUAAUGAUAAUGAACAAAAAAAACCACGAUAAGCCAACCGAAUCGUUGGCUUAACAUAACGCCAAUGUGCCAUUUACACAAUUAUACUGUUUGCCGAAAUCUCAAACAAAACAAAAAACCAAAUAA